rnacentral:piRNA from 1 species
UUACAAAUAGGAUGGUGUUCUUGAUAGU